GCAAGUCGAGCGGUAACAGGUCCUUCGGGAUGCUGACGAGCGGCGGACGGGUGAGUAAUGCUUAGGAAUCUGCCCAGUAGUAGGGGAUAGCCCGGGGAAACCCGGAUUAAUACCGCAUACGCCCUACGGGGGAAAGCAGGGGAUCUUCGGACCUUGCGCUAUUGGAUGAGCCUAAGUCGGAUUAGCUAGUUGGUAGGGUAAGAGCCUACCAAGGCAACGAUCCGUAGCUGGUUUGAGAGGAUGAUCAGCCACAUCGGGACUGAGACACGGCCCGAACUCCUACGGGAGGCAGCAGUGGGGAAUAUUGGACAAUGGGGGCAACCCUGAUCCAGCCAUGCCGCGUGUGUGAAGAAGGCUUUCGGGUUGUAAAGCACUUUCAGUGAGGAGGAAAACCUUAAAAUUAAUACUUUUGAGGCUUGACGUUACUCACAGAAGAAGCACCGGCUAACUCCGUGCCAGCAGCCGCGGUAAUACGGAGGGUGCAAGCGUUAAUCGGAAUUACUGGGCGUAAAGCGCGCGUAGGUGGUUCGAUAAGCGGGAUGUGAAAGCCCCGGGCUUAACCUGGGAACGGCAUUCCGAACUGUCGGGCUAGAGUAUGGUAGAGGGUAGUGGAAUUUCCUGUGUAGCGGU
rnacentral:rRNA from 1 species